AGGAAUAUAUUUAAUUAUAAUAUCUGGUUUGCAAUCAGAAGGUGUCUAGGACUUUUCUUU
rnacentral:tRNA from 1 species